GGCAACUGGAGGCAACUCUGACCCAGCCAUGCCGCGUGCAGGAAGACUGCCCUAUGGGUUGUAAACUGCUUUUAUACAGGAAGAAACACACCUACGUGUAGGUGCUUGACGGUACUGUAAGAAUAAGGACCGGCUAACUCCGUGCCAGCAGCCGCGGUAAUACGGAGGGUCCAAGCGUUAUCCGGAAUCAUUGGGUUUAAAGGGUCCGCAGGCGGUCAAUUAAGUCAGAGGUGAAAUCCCAUAGCUUAACUAUGGAACUGCCUUUGAUACUGGUUGACUUGAGUCAUAUGGAAGUAGAUAGAAUGUGUAGUGUAGCGGUGAAAUGCAUAGAUAUUACACAGAAUACCGAUUGCGAAGGCAGUYUACUACGUAUGUACUGACGCUCAUGGACGAAAGCGU
rnacentral:rRNA from 1 species